rnacentral:misc_RNA from 1 species
GCAAACUUGGUCAUUUAGAGGAAGUAAAAGUCGUAACAAGGUUUCCGUAGGGUGAGUGGUUGAGUUUUCCUUGGUUCUGCUUUUUUGCUCUGCUUUUUUUGACAUUCAUUGCUAACUUUCUACCUCUAGUGAACCUGCGGAAGGAUCAUUACAAGAGUUUUGAAAACCUCUGGUUUUCAUUCUCCCACCCUUUGUGUAUCAAACUUUUGUUGCUUCGGCAGGACGUCAGUCUUUUUCUGCCUCUGGUCUUUCAGAUUGGAGUGCUUCUGCCGAAGGUUUUACAAACUUACUCUGAUUAAUUGCUGUCUGAUUUCAUGAUCUAAAUCAUAAAAACUUUCAACAACGGAUCUCUUGGUUCUGGCAUCGAUGAAGAACGCAGC